rnacentral:rRNA from 1 species
AGAGUUUGAUCCUGGCUCAGGAUGAACGCUGGCGGCGUGCCUAAUACAUGCAAGUAGAACGCUGAAGCUUGGUGCUUGCACCGAGCGGAUGAGUUGCGAACGGGUGAGUAACGCGUAGGUAACCUGCCUCUUAGCGGGGGAUAACUAUUGGAAACGAUAGCUAAUACCGCAUAAAAGUCGACAUUGCAUGAUGUUGACUUGAAAGGUGCAACUGCAUCACUAAGAGAUGGACCUGCGUUGUAUUAGCUAGUUGGUGAGGUAACGGCUCACCAAGGCGACGAUACAUAGCCGACCUGAGAGGGUGAUCGGCCACACUGGGACUGAGACACGGCCCAGACUCCUACGGGAGGCAGCAGUAGGGAAUCUUCGGCAAUGGGGGCAACCCUGACCGAGCAACGCCGCGUGAGUGAAGAAGGUUUUCGGAUCGUAAAGCUCUGUUGUAAGUCAAGAACGAGUGUGAGAGUGGAAAGUUCACACUGUGACGGUAGCUUACCAGAAAGGGACGGCUAACUACGUGCCAGCAGCCGCGGUAAUACGUAGGUCCCGAGCGUUGUCCGGAUUUAUUGGGCGUAAAGCGAGCGCAGGCGGUUUGAUAAGUCUGAAGUUAAAGGCUGUGGCUCAACCAUAGUUCGCUUUGGAAACUGUCAAACUUGAGUGCAGAAGGGGAGAGUGGAAUUCCAUGUGUAGCGGUGAAAUGCGUAGAUAUAUGGAGGAACACCGGUGGCGAAAGCGGCUCUCUGGUCUGUAACUGACGCUGAGGCUCGAAAGCGUGGGGAGCAAACAGGAUUAGAUACCCUGGUAGUCCACGCC